CGCGGUCCUGCUCCUUGUUCUGAUAUUGAUGAUUAUCGUCGGACUGCUGCUGUUGUACCAAUGUCACCAUGCCCAUGCACUAUAUGGAGACCAUAAGUUUCUUUACAUAUUGGGGUUGUUUUAGUAAAAUGACCAUUAUAUAUCUGUAAUAGCAACAAGUAACAAUAAUUUUGAAUUAUGUUUCUACAUAUUUAUUGGGGAUUACAUCAAUUAUAAUGAGGCGAUAAAAAGAAUAUGAAUGUAAGAUGAGUGUCCUUCAACUAUAAAAAGAUCUAUAACGAAUUGAUUUCUUAGUAAAGUAUGUAUAAUUAUGAACCGAUCUAAACAAUACAUAGCACGCGUAUACGUGAACUAUACUCGUUAUAAUAUCAUAUUCAUUGGUAUCGUUAUCGAUAUAAGUAUAUAUCGCAAUGGGAAAUUUUUAAUUAGUUAUAACUAAUUCAGAUUUGCAUUUGUGAUUUCAGUAGAUAAUUUCCUGUCAUAUAUAUCUUUUACACACAAAUUAUAUAACCAUUAUAGGAAUAAAGAGUUCAUUACGGAAGUGAAGACAUAUAUAUGCAAUACACAUCACGUUUAGAAUGGGAUCAUCAGUAAAAUAAAAUAAAACGGAGAAAGACUUCAAUCGAAGCGCAUCAGUCAUGAUCGUUAUCCGCCAAUUCAACGAUUGAUAACCAUUCGCUAAAUUAAUCCUUUGGUCACUUUGCUAACACAAAGCCCACUAUCGAUCUAUGAAGACAUCUAAGGCACUUGUUAUGGAAGAUGCUUCGCGGAAAGGAAAACUUCAUUCGAGUCAAUCCCAAGUUUUCAACACUUCGUCGAACCACUUAUUCUAUUAGAAAAUUGAAUUUUUGUUUCGCGGGAACAAAGUACGAUCCGAACACACGAAUUCAGCCGGAACCACGAUAUCUUUGUUGAUCCUACGACACUGUCAGAUAGAUAUUAGUGUGGAUGAUGACGCCAUGCGGCUGCUGAAGGACGACGCGCGCCUUGGAGGUGGAAUCGUGGAAAUGCUUGUUCUCGCGAAAGUUGCAAGAGAAUAUAUAAAGCAAAACAAAGAAAAGUAGAUAUAUGAAAACUGGUCUCUCGACAGCCUCGCGCAAUGUCCUCGUUAAUAUAAUCGAAUAACACUUUGGAUUUUCCUACCGAUACACGGAUGAUACCGCGAUGGUCACCAUGUCACGCGCAAUCUGCGUCACUUGCGAGUCGCACUGCGUAUGUAAAAAACACAAAAAAACGUUAUAUUUUAUAUAUAUGUCUAUAUAAUGUUCGACGUCCGUUAUUACCGAAGAAUGAAUAUUAUAGCUGCAGGGCGUCUCGACGCUCAUUAACGCUGUUGAUCAGAUUGUUGACGAAAUUAAAAUAUUAACUAAUGGCGGCAUUAUAUCCGUUCGAUACGACUCGUAAUAGACUGCUGUCGCGCUGUCGAACAUGCUUGGAAAUCAUUGGCCCCACUCUAUGCCUCUUUCUCUCAGCGGUGACUGUUAACGAUAUAUAAUGUGUGUCUCGCAUGUUUGUACGACAAUGUUGCUUUGUGCGAUUCUUGGGUUUUUCAUGGAGUACAUCGGAUGAAUCUGCAUCUUCUGUCCGGAUGUUCAAAGAUUUCUAACAUAUCUCAAUGACACAAAAUAUCUUUUAUAUUAUUUUUAUUGUAUAAUUUUUAACAAUCAAGAAAUAUUUUGCGCGCGCAAAAUUAUGAAAUAUAUAUUUUACACGCAAUUAUUAUAUUUAUUUCUAAUUACGAAACCGUAUAUUUUCAAAGAGUUUAAAGAUGGAGAAAGAAUAUGCAGCAAGGAAAGAAAAAAAAGUCCAUUUGUUUGUUAAACAAAAUUAUAUAUUCAAUUAUACAAUAUUAUACCAUAAAAUCGUUUUAUGUUAAAUUUAAUCGUAAAAUUGUAUCUUCUCUAAGAAGAAAACAUUUUGAUAAAUGAUCUCUGAGAAAAAAUGCAAUAGCGUGAACUUUAGAUAACAUGCGAUUUUUUUUAAAUCUCUGAUUGUGAGUAAAAUAAAAUUACGAAUUAAAAUAAAUUUAUUUGGAGUAUCGAGAUUUUGAUGUAUAAACAUCUUAUUUCGAUAUUAUACUAAAAAUAUAUUAUAUAUCGGGUAAUAUAUAUAUAAAUCGUUAAACUUAUGCGAAUAUUCGAAAUGAUCAUAACCAAUAAUAAAUGAAAAUAUGUGAUAAAUGAAUAAACACGAAUACGCACUCAUACAUAUAAAUUGAUAAUUUCUACAGUCUCAAUCAAUAUUUUUUUUUUAUGCUAUCACAUUAGUUUAUGAUAGAGGCUUUCAUAUCAUAACUGAUAUCAUAUUUAAUUUAAAUGCGCGUUGUCGCAUCAACUUUAGUUGUAUAAAAUUACAGACUACGGCUAAAAUCGAAUUUCUUAUGUAAAAAUUGAAUAUAGAAAUUAAUUUUUUUUUCAGAAAAAUAGGAAACUGCAAAAAAAUAUUUUUAAAGUGUUUAUAUUAAAUUAUCUAUUUUUUAUACAACGUAUAUAAAUAAUACUGGGAUUUUAUAAAAAUGUGGAUUGAGAGAGAGAGAGAGAGA